rnacentral:rRNA from 1 species
GAUGAACGCUGGCGGCGUGCCUAAUACAUGCAAGUCGAGCGAAGCCUUCGGGCUUAGUGGCGAACGGGUGAGUAACACGUUGGUACCUACCCUCUAGUGGGGAAUAACUGGCCGAAAGGUCGGCUGAUACCGCAUAAUACCGCAAGGUUAAAGCAGGAAUGCGCUAGAGGAGGGGCCUGCGUCCCAUUAGCUUGUUGGUAGUGUAAUGGACUACCAAGGCGACGAUGGGUAGCUGGAUCGAGAGGUUGACCAGCCACACUGGGACUGAGAUACGGCCCAGACUCCUACGGGAGGCAGCAGUAAGGAAUCUUCCACAAUGGACGAAAGUCUGAUGGAGCAACGCCGCGUGCAGGAUGACGGCCUUCGGGUUGUAAACUGCUUUUAUAUGGGAAGAUUAUGACGGUACCAUAUGAAUAAGGACCGGCUAACUACGUGCCAGCAGCCGCAGUAA